AUGGCUGACAACAAACAAAGAAAAUCUCGGUUUGACGGGCUCAUUCCCAGCGCGUCCGAUGGAGAUCUACACUGCCGUAGAGUUACUUUUAUUAGACGAAUUCUUGAAGGAAAAGGAAUCAGGAACGUUCCGUCGAUAAUAAUUUCUGGGAUGAUCGUCAACAAUGUCCCUGAUGAGAGCAUCAUCAAACAGAUUGAAACAAAAAUUAAACCAGACUGGCCACAUCUCGUAAAAGCGGCUCCAGAGCCACUUCUGGCACCACCAGUAGACCCAUUACCAGUGACAGGACCAUCACAAGUGGCUCCGGCAGGAAUUUACGCCCCUCCGUGGGGGUAUUACGCUUAUCCCAGCAACUACCCUGGAUUUCCUGUGGGCCCACCGCCAGCAGUAGCCGCCCUUGCACAGGCCCCCAGGCACAGGCCCCCCAAGCACCGGCUGCCCCUGCACCAGCCGCCCCAGCUCUGGCCCCCCCAGUACCGGCCCCGCUUCCACCGGUGCUGCCAGAAAAGGCCCCACUAG
rnacentral:lncRNA from 1 species